AUUGAACGCUGGCGGCAUGCCUUACACAUGCAAGUCGAACGGCAGCACGGGGGCAACCCUGGUGGCGAGUGGCGAACGGGUGAGUAAUACAUCGGAACGUGCCCCGUAGCGGGGGAUAACCAGUCGAAAGAUUGGCUAAUACCGCAUACGCUCUACGGAGGAAAGCAGGGGACCGCAAGGCCUUGCACUAUGGGAGCGGCCGAUGUCGGAUUAGCUAGUUGGUGAGGUAAAGGCUAACCAAGGCAACGAUCCGUAGCUGGUCUGAGAGGACGACCAGCCAAACUGGGACUGAGACACGGCCCAGACGCCUACGGGAGGCAGCAGUGGGGAAUUUUGACAAUGGGCGCAAGCCUGAUCCAGCCAUGCCGCGUGCGGGAAGAAGGCCUUCGGGUUGUAAACCGCUUUUGGCAGGAACGAAACGGCGCUUGUUAAUACCAGGCGUUAAUGACGGUACCUGCAGAAUAAGCACCGGCUAACUACGUGCCAGCCGCCGCCGUAA
rnacentral:rRNA from 1 species